GGGAAACUUUAUGGUCUCAGUAAAACUUGGCCCUCAUUUCAUCUUUGGAAUAAAUCUGUUGUUUGAUGAUCGCCCAGAUUCUUAACAUCAUUAAGGAUAAAGAAUGAUGGUAGCAGAACUAGAACCUGGAUGCUCUGAGUCCUAACCUAGUCUUUUUAUAGACCGCUGUCAAUGGCCACCACGAAGACAGUCCUGGAGAGAAUGUGAAGAUUGGCCCCAUGGUUCCUGCUGUUAAGUGGGACCUAAGUGGAAGAGAAGAGGGACCUUUGUUUCUGAGCUGAUAAUCAGCUAAAAGAAAAAAAAAAAAAAGCACUUGACAAAGUCUAGAAGGGAUCUCAGCUGGAGUUUUUAUGAGGCGCAAAAAUGUUCUGUUACUAGGUCUUUAUAGGUCAUAUACAAUAAUAAGAAAAGCUUGAGAAAAUGAGAGCAAUCAAAG